AGAGAACAAAGCAGUCUUUCUCACAGUGACACACAAUUCAUGCCCCCUUCCAAUUUGAAGGCAAAGCCACCAGCUUUCCUCUUGGCCUUUUCAUGAAUUCAGUCAUGCCGGGCCGUCAAAAUGUGUUAAGCGCCGACUGUAUGCAAGACAAGAAUGCCCAAGUGGGGUGUGGGGAAACAGAACCAUCCGGGGAAUGGGGAGUCUGGUGCUGAGAAGACCGGUGUCCCCCAGGUCGUGGGGCAAACAGCCAGCGAGAGAAGCGAGAACCCACCCGACGCACCACGGAGGGGACGUGAUUCUAGCUGCUUCCUCACGGGGCUGCUGUCCAACAGAGGUGAGACGAGCCUCGGGAAGGCCUCAGCCAGGGCCCUGCACCCCGAGCACCCCACAGCGGCUCUCGAGGACGAAACCUCCAAUCUGCAGCCCGGGUGCUUCAGGGGUCGUUUUUGCCGGAAGUUCGUGACGUGGCGCAGAACAAAGUGUGGCGGGGCCAGAGUGGGGGUUUGGGGAGCGUCAUGUCACCCACACCCAGGCCUCCUUCAGGGGCAGAGCCAGCCAGUGAGGGGAUGUUGAUCAGGCAGUCACGUGGGGCCCCUGAUCAGGGCCCCCUUCUGCCAGA